GUCUAUGGCCAUGCCACCCUGAAUGUGCCCGAUCUAGUCUGAUCUCAGAAGCUAAGCAGGGUCAGGCCUGGUUAGUACUUGGAUGGGAGAUCACCCAGGAAUACCAGGUGCUGUAGGCA
rnacentral:rRNA from 1 species